UACGAAGGGGGCUAGCGUUGCUCGGAAUUACUGGGCGUAAAGCGCACGUAGGCGGUCUUUUAAGUCGGGGGUGAAAUCCUGGAGCUCAACUCCAGAACUGCCUUCGAUACUGGAAGACUUGAGUCCGGGAGAGGUGAGUGGAACUGCGAGUGUAGAGGUGAAAUUCGUAGAUAUUCGCAAGAACACCGGUGGCGAAGGCGGCCAACUGGACCCAUUACUGACGCUGAGGCGCGAAAGCGUGGGGAGGCAAACAGGAUUAGAAACCCCUGGGUAGUCCAAGACCGA
rnacentral:rRNA from 1 species